rnacentral:rRNA from 2 species
UACGUAGGGGGCAAGCGUUGUCCGGAUUUAUUGGGCGUAAAGAGCGUGUAGGCGGCUAUACAGGUCCGCUGUGAAAACUCGAGGCUCAACCUCGAGACGUCGGUGGAAACCGUAUGGCUAGAGUCCGGAAGAGGAGAGUGGAAUUCCUGGUGUAGCGGUGAAAUGCGCAGAUAUCAGGAAGAACACCCGUGGCGAAGGCGGCUCUCUGGGACGGUACUGACGCUGAGACGCGAAAGCGUGGGGAGCGAACAGG